GGCGAACGGGUGAGUAAUAUAUCGGAACGUGCCCAGUCGUGGGGGAUAACCGUAGCGAAAGCUACGCUAAUACCGCAUACGAUCUAUGGAUGAAAGCGGGGGAUCGCAAGACCUCGCGCGAUUGGAGCGGCCGAUAUCAGAUUAGGUAGUUGGUGGGGUAAAGGCCUACCAAGCCUGCGAUCUGUAGCUGGUCUGAGAGGACGACCAGCCACACUGGAACUGAGACACGGUCCAGACUCCUACAGGAGGCAGCAGUGGGGAAUUUUGGACAAUGGGCGCAGCCUGAUCCAGCAAUGCCGCGUGCAGGAUGAAGGCCUUCGGGUUGUAAACUGCUUUUGUACGGAACGAAACGGUCCUUUCUAAUACAAGGGGCUAAUGACGGUACCGUAAGAAUAAGCACCGGCUAACUACGUGCCAGCAGCCGCGGUAAUACGUAGGGUGCGAGCGUUAAUCGGAAUUACUGGGCGUAAAGCGUGCGCAGGCGGUUAUGUAAGACAGAUGUGAAAUCCCCGGGCUCAACCUGGGACCUGCAUUUGUGACUGCAUAGCUAGAGUACGGUAGAGGGGGAUGGAAUUCCGCGUGUAGCAGUGAAAUGCGUAGAUAUGCGGAGGAACACCGAUGGCGAAGGCAAUCCCCUGGACCUGUACUGACGCUCAUGCACGAAAGCGUGGGGAGCAAACAGGAUUAGAUACCCUGGUAGUCCACGCCCUAAACGAUGUCGACUGGUUGUUGGGUCUUCACUGACUCAGUAACGAAGCUAACGCGUGAAGUUGACCGCCUGGGGAGUACGGCCGCAAGGUUGAAACCCAAAGGAAUUGACGGGGACCCGCACAAGCGGUGGAUGAUGUGGUUUAAUUCGAUGCAACGCGAAAAACCUUACCCACCUUUGACAUGUACGGAACUCGCCAGAGAUGGCUUGGUGCUCGAAAGAGAGCCCGUAACACAGGUGCUGCAUGGCUGUCGUCAGCUCGUGUCGUGAGAUGUUGGGUUAAGUCCCGCAACGAGCGGAACCCUUGUCAUUAGUUGCUACAUUUAGUUGGGCACUCUAAUGAGACUGCCGGUGACAAACCGGAGGAAGGUGGGGAUGACGUCAAAGUCCUCAUGGCCCUUAUAGGUGGGGCUACACACCGUCAUACAAUGGCUGGUACAAAGGGUUGCCAACCCGCGAGGGGGAGCUAAUNCCAUAAAAGCCAGUCGUANUCCCGGAUCGNAGUCUGCAACUCGACUGNNUGAAGUUCGGAAUCGCUAGUAAUUCGNGGAUCANAAUGUCACGGGUGAAUACGNUCCCNGGUUUUGGACACACCCGNCCGNCACACCNUGGGAAGCGGNUUCU
rnacentral:rRNA from 1 species